GAUGAACGCUGGCGGCGUGCCUAAUACAUGCAAGUCGAGCGAACAGACGAGGAGCUUGCUCCUCUGACGUUAGCGGCGGACGGGUGAGUAACACGUGGAUAACCUACCUAUAAGACUGGGAUAACUUCGGGAAACCGGAGCUAAUACCGGAUAAUAUAUUGAACCGCAUGGUUCAAUAGUGAAAGACGGUUUUGCUGUCACUUAUAGAUGGAUCCGCGCCGCAUUAGCUAGUUGGUAAGGUAACGGCUUACCAAGGCAACGAUGCGUAGCCGACCUGAGAGGGUGAUCGGCCACACUGGAACUGAGACACGGUCCAGACUCCUACGGGAGGCAGCAGUAGGGAAUCUUACGCAAUGGGCGAAAGCCUGACGGAGCAACGCCGCGUGAGUGAUGAAGGUCUUCGGAUCGUAAAACUCUGUCAUUAGGGAAGAACAAAUGUGUAAGUAACUAUGCACGUCUUGACGGUACCUAAUCAGAAAGCCACGGCUAACUACGUG
rnacentral:rRNA from 1 species